AACGAACGCUGGCGGCAUGCCUAACACAUGCAAGUCGAACGAGACCUUCGGGUCUAGUGGCGCACGGGUGCGUAACGCGUGGGAACCUGCCUUUAGGUUCGGAAUAACUCAGAGAAAUUUGAGCUAAUACCGGAUGAUGUCUUCGGACCAAAGAUUUAUCGCCUUUAGAUGGGCCCGCGUUGGAUUAGCUAGUUGGUGGGGUAAAGGCCUACCAAGGCGACGAUCCAUAGCUGGUCUGAGAGGAUGAUCAGCCACACUGGGACUGAGACACGGCCCAGACUCCUACGGGAGGCAGCAGUGGGGAAUAUUGGACAAUGGGCGAAAGCCUGAUCCAGCAAUGCCGCGUGAGUGAUGAAGGCCUUAGGGUUGUAAAGCUCUUUUACCCGAGAUGAGAAGGACAGUAUCGGGAGAAUAAGCUCCGGCUAACUCCGU
rnacentral:rRNA from 1 species